AGUAGUUUGAUCAUGGCUCAGAUGAACGCUGGCGGCAGGCCUAACACAUGCAAGUCGAACGGGUCCUUCGGGACUAGUGGCGGACGGGUGAGUAACGCGUGGGAACAUACCCUUUGGUACGGAAUAGCCUCGGGAAACUGGGAGUAAUACCGUAUGUGGUCGAGAGACGAAAGAUUUAUCGCCAAAGGAUUGGCCCGCGUUGGAUUAGGUAGUUGGUGGGGUAAUGGCCUACCAAGCCGACGAUCCAUAGCUGGUUUGAGAGGAUGAUCAGCCACACUGGGACUGAGACACGGCCCAGACUCCUACGGGAGGCAGCAGUGGGGAAUCUUAGACAAUGGGGAAACCCUGAUCUAGCCAUGCCGCGUGAUCGAUGAAGGCCUUAGGGUUGUAAAGAUCUUUCAGGUGGGAAGAUAAUGACUGUACCACCAGAAGAAGCCCCGGCUAACUCCGUG
rnacentral:rRNA from 1 species